rnacentral:rRNA from 1 species
UAACUGGGCGUAAAGGGCACGCAGGCGGUGACUUAAGUGAGGUGUGAAAGCCCCGGGCUUAACCUGGGAAUUGCAUUUCAUACUGGGUCGCUAGAGUACUUUAGGGAGGGGUAGAAUUCCACGUGUAGCGGUGAAAUGCGUAGAGAUGUGGAGGAAUACCGAAGGCGAAGGCAGCCCCUUGGGAAUGUACUGACGCUCAUGUGCGAAAGCGUGGGGAGCAAACAGGAUUAGAUACCCCGGUAGUCCACGCUGUAAACGAUGUCGAUUUGGGGGUUGAACUUUGUGUUUGGCGCCCGUAGCUAACGUGAUAAAUCGACCGCCUGGGGAGUACGGCCGCAAGGUUAAAACUCAAAUGAAUUGACGGGGGCCCGCACAAGCGGUGGAGCAUGUGGUUUAAUUCGAUGCAACGCGAAGAACCUUACCUACUCUUGACAUCCAGAGAACAUUCCAGAGAUGGAUUGGUGCCUUCGGGAGCUCUGAGACAGGUGCUGCAUGGCUGUCGUCAGCUCGUGUCGUGAGAAG